rnacentral:rRNA from 1 species
AACGAACGCUGGCGGCAUGCCUAACACAUGCAAGUCGAACGAGACCUUCGGGUCUAGUGGCGCACGGGUGCGUAACGCGUGGGAACCCGCCCUUAGGUUCGGAAUAACUCCCCGAAAGGGGAGCUAAUACCGGAUAAUGUCUUCGGACCAAAGAUUUAUCGCCUUUGGAUGGGCCCGCGUUGGAUUAGCUAGUUGGUAGGGUAAAAGCCUACCAAGGCGACGAUCCAUAGCUGGUCUGAGAGGAUGAUCAGCCACACUGGGACUGAGACACGGCCCAGACUCCUACGGGAGGCAGCAGUGGGGAAUAUUGGACAAUGGGCGAAAGCCUGAUCCAGCAAUGCCGCGUGAGUGAUGAAGGCCUUAGGGUUGUAAAGCUCUUUUACCCGGGAUGAUAAUGACAGUACCGGGAGAAUAAGCUCCGGCUAACUCCGUGC